UUAAGCGUGUAGGCUGGUUUUCCAGGCAAAUCCGGAAAAUCAAGGCUGAGGCGUGAUGACGAGGCACUACGGUGCUGAAGCGACAAAUGCCCUGCUUCCAGGAAAAGCCUCUAAGCAUCAGGUAACAUCAAAUCGUACCCCAAACCGACACAGGUGGUCAGGUAGAGAAUACCAAGGCGCUUGAGAGAACUCGGGUGAAGGAACUAGGCAAAAUGGUGCCGUAACUUCGGGAGAAGGCACGCUGAUAUGUAGGUGAAGCGACUUGCUCGUGGAGCUGAAAUCAGUCGAAGAUACCAGCUGGCUGCAACUGUUUAUUAAAAACACAGCACUGUGCAAACACGAAAGUGGACGUAUACGGUGUGACGCCUGCCCGGUGCCGGAAGGUUAAUUGAUGGGGUUAGCGGUAACGCGAAGCUCUUGAUCGAAGCCCCGGUAAACGGCGGCCGUAACUAUAACGGUCCUAAGGUAGCGAAAUUCCUUGUCGGGUAAGUUCCGACCUGCACGAAUGGCGUAAUGAUGGCCAGGCUGUCUCCACCCGAGACUCAGUGAAAUUGAACUCGCUGUGAAGAUGCAGUGUACCCGCGGCAAGACGGAAAGACCCCGUGAACCUUUACUAUAGCUUGACACUGAACAUUGAGCCUUGAUGUGUAGGAUAGGUGGGAGGCUUUGAAGUGUGGACGCCAGUCUGCAUGGAGCCGACCUUGAAAUACCACCCUUUAAUGUUUGAUGUUCUAACGUGGGCCCCUUACCGGGGUUGCGGACAGUGUCUGGUGGGUAGUUUGACUGGGGCGGUCUCCUCCUAAAGAGUAACGGAGGAGCACGAAGGUUGGCUAAUCCUGGUCGGACAUCAGGAGGUUAGUGCAAUGGCAUAAGCCAGCUUGACUGCGAGCGUGACGGCGCGAGCAGGUGCGAAAGCAGGUCAUAGUGAUCCGGUGGUUCUGAAUGGAAGGGCCAUCGCUCAACGGAUAAAAGGUACUCCGGGGAUAACAGGCUGAUACCGCCCAAGAGUUCAUAUCGACGGCGGUGUUUGGCACCUCGAUGUCGGCUCAUCACAUCCUGGGGCUGAAGUAGGUCCCAAGGGUAUGGCUGUUCGCCAUUUAAAGUGGUACGCGAGCUGGGUUUAGAACGUCGUGAGACAGUUCGGUCCCUAUCUGCCGUGGGCGCUGGAGAACUGAGGGGGGCUGCUCCUAGUACGAGAGGACCGGAGUGGACGCAUCACUGGUGUUCGGGUUGUCAUGCCAAUGGCACUGCCCGGUAGCUAAAUGCGGAAGAGAUAAGUGCUGAAAGCAUCUAAGCACGAAACUUGCCCCGAGAUGAGUUCUCCCUGACUCCUUGAGAGUCCUGAAGGAACGUUGAAGACGACGACGUUGAUAGGCCGGGUGUGUAAGCGCAGCGAUGCGUUGAGCUAACCGGUACUAAUGAACCGUGAGGCUUAACCUUACAACGCCGAAG
rnacentral:rRNA from 1 species